rnacentral:rRNA from 1 species
GAUGACGCUGACAGAUGCUUACACAUGCAAGUCAACUUGAAUUUGGGUUUUUACCUUAGAUUGGGUGCGGACGGGUGAGUAACGCGUAAAGAACUUGCCUCACAGCUAGGGACAACAUUUAGAAAUGAAUGCUAAUACCUGAUAUUAUGAUUUUAAGGCAUCUUAGAAUUAUGAAAGCUAUAAGCACUGUGAGAGAGCUUUGCGUCCCAUUAGCUAGUUGGAGAGGUAACAGCUCACCAAGGCGAUGAUGGGUAGCCGGCCUGAGAGGGUGAACGGCCACAAGGGGACUGAGACACGGCCCUUACUCCUACGGGAGGCAGCAGUGGGGAAUAUUGGACAAUGGACCGAGAGUCUGAUCCAGCAAUUCUGUGUGCACGAUGAAGUUUUUCGGAAUGUAAAGUGCUUUCAGUUGGGAAGAAAGAAAUGACGGUACCAACAGAAGAAGUGACGGCUAAAUACGUGCCAGCAGCCGCGGUAAUACGUAUGUCACGAGCGUUAUCCGGAUUUAUUGGGCGUAAAGCGCGUCUAGGUGGUUAUGUAAGUCUGAUGUGAAAAUGCAGGGCUCAACUCUGUAUUGCGUUUGGAAACUGUGUAACUAGAGUACUGGAGAGGUAAGCGGAACUACAAGUGUAGAGGUGAAAUUCGUAGAUAUUUGUAGGAAUGCCGAUGGGAAGCCAGCUUACUGGACAGAUACUGACGCUAAAGCGCGAAAGCGUGGGUAGCAAACAGG